GUGCCAGCAGCCGCGGUAAUACGAAGGGGGCUAGCGUUGUCCGUAUUUAUUGGGCGUAAAGAGCGUGUAGGCGGCCUUACAGGUCAGCUGUGAAAACUCGAGGCUCAACCUCGAGACGUCGGUUGAAACCGUAAGGCUAGAGUCCGGAAGAGGAGAGUGGAAUUCCCGGUGUAGCGGUGAAAUGCGCAGAUAUCAGGAAGAACACCAAUGGCGAAGGCAGCUCUCUGGGACGGUACUGACGCUGAGACGCGAAAGCGUGGGGAGCGAACAGGAUUAGAUACCCUGGUAGUCC
rnacentral:rRNA from 1 species